rnacentral:rRNA from 1 species
GACGAACGCUGGCGGCGUGCUUAACACAUGCAAGUCGAACGGAAAGGCCCUGCUUUUGUGGGGUGCUCGAGUGGCGAACGGGUGAGUAACACGUGAGUAACCUGCCCUUGACUUUGGGAUAACUUCAGGAAACUGGGGCUAAUACCGGAUAGGAGCUCCUGCUGCAUGGUGGGGGUUGGAAAGUUUCGGCGGUGGGGGAUGGACUCGCGGCUUAUCAGCUUGUUGGUGGGGUAGUGGCUUAACAAGGCUUUGACGGGUAGCCGGCCUGAGAGGGUGACCGGCCACAUCGGGACUGAUAUACGGCCCAGACUCCUACGGGAGGCAGCAGUGGGGAAUAUUGCACAAUGGGCGGAAGCCUGAUGCAGCAACGCCGCGUGCGGGAUGACGGCCUUCGGGUUGUAAACCGCCUUCGCCUGUGACGAAGCGUGAGUGACGGUAAUGGGUAAAGAAGCACCGGCUAACUACGUG